rnacentral:rRNA from 1 species
GAUGAACGCUAGCGGCAGGCUUAACACAUGCAAGUCGAGGGGUAUAGUUCUUCGGAACUAGAGACCGGCGCACGGGUGCGUAACGCGUAUGCAAUCUGCCUUUCACAGAGGGAUAGCCCAGAGAAAUUUGGAUUAAUACCUCAUAGUAUUAUAGACUGGCAUCGGUUUAUAAUUAAAGUCGCAACGGUGAAAGAUGAGCAUGCGUCCCAUUAGCUAGUUGGUAAGGUAACGGCUUACCAAGGGGACGAUGGGUAGGGGUCCUGAGAGGGAGAUCCCCCACAAUGGUACUGAAAUACGGACCAAACUCCUCCGGGAGGCAAGAGUGAGGAAUAUUGGUCAAUGGACACAAGUCUGGACCAGCCAUGCCGCGUGAAGGAUGACGGUCCUAUGGAUUGUAAACUGCUUUUGUACGAGAAGAAACACUCCAACGUGUUGGAGCUUGACGGUAUCGUAAGAAUAAGGAUCGGCUAACUCCGUGCCAGCAGCCGCCGUAACAC